GUAUCUUUAGCGUAUCGUAGCGUAUCUCCGAUACGAUACGAUACCCUCCGAUACGUAUCUUAAUUUUGAUCGAUCGAUACGGCGACCGAUACCGGUACUUUAAUCCUUGCUUAUACUUUCCUUUGUAAUUAGGCUUUAGGCUCACUACAUUGUUUAUUUCUAUUGCAAUUUGACUUCUUAAUAUAAAACAAUAGGUUAGCGUGAUAAGAGGGUCUUCUGAAUCUAUCGCACAAGCAUUUUUCUCCCUCUCUCUCUUCCUCUUCACUUCAUCGUCUUCUUCUCGGGUUUGCUGGUUCACUAAGCUCUCAUAUUGUCACAGUUUCCUACCUUCUUUGUUUUAUCUUUUAGUUUUUGUGUUUCACCCUCUCUCACCUGCUUGCCCCCAUGCUGGGGUUUCUUGCUCAUCUCCUCUGGGUCUUGGUGUCUCUCUCUCUCUCUAAUAAAUGACUUUUUAUCUGUUGUUGCUCACCAAAAAAAGGUGGAAACGAAUCCAUAAAAUUCUAGUAAACUGCAUGGUUGAAUGAUGAUUUUUGUGAUCUGUGCCCUAACUCUUAUUGGUUAGUCAUGGACAAUGUAGCCACUAUUGAUAAAUGUAAUCUACUGACAGAAGUAAAGAAAUACAGGAUGGGAUCUUAACUUGAUGUCCAACAUUUGGAAGGCCAUGACUGGAUUGUGCAUGCGAUAAAUGUCCAUCUUCUUAGCAGGCUACAAAUGUUCACAUGAAAAUGAAGAGAUGGGUGCUAGGAGCCUAGUAUGUUUUAGACUUAAUCCAUUUCUCAGUGGCAGACCUUUUAAUUUAUUAGCAAUUACUUUAGAAAAUUGUAGAGCACUCUUCUUUGAAAAACUUCUGGGGUAGCUGCUGAUAUGUGGCAUGAUUCAUGAACUGGGUCAGUGGUGCGCUCUUGUUAACGUAUUUUAAUGAUCAUUGUCAAGAAUUGGCUGACUUUUGAUUUUGAAAAAUUCACAUGAAAAACUAUUAGCUUAGUUCUGUUUCAGUUCUGAUCUUGUUAACCAUGCUUUAGAUUUCCUGGACUCCAAUUUAGCUGUCUUAAAAGAUUUAAGCUUAAAGUCCCCGUGAUGGAGGGCCAGUAGAGAAAGGGAAGAAAUCCUUGAGAGAACUCAGAGUUGCAGGGGAGAAGAGAAGAAUCACACAAAAGGGGAAGGAAUACAGUCACACGACCAAUUAAAACCACCAAGUUUUCAACCAAAUAUUCAAUUCAUCAUUCUCAAAAUCUGUCUAAUAACUUAGAUUACAUGCCUUUAUAUAACAACUGGAAAUUUAAACUUACCUAAUUAAAAUCAAAAUUAAAUUAGCGAACUCCUAAUUACUUCCUAAGUUCUAACUAAUGAAAUUAUAAAUAGAAUAAAACUCAAAUUGGUAACUCCCUAAUUGACUAACAACUACCCAAAAUAAAAUAUUACAUAUCUUCCCAAAUAAAAUGACAAAAUAUUUCCUUAAAUAAAGUAAAUCCUAAAAUAUUCUAUUGAUCUCAAAAAUCAAAUCAGAUCCCGUUCGUCUCAGUUGAGAUUGCCCAAAGGGUCAACCCGGUUCAGCCUCAAUUCUGCACCACCCCCUAGUUCUAGCUGUUCAUUCUAUUGAUGUCAUGCUUUGUCUUACAUUCAGUUUCUUUAUGUCUGUGCAGUGUUACAUGGUUUGAAGAUACAAAAAUUCCUAAUAACAAGUGUUGGUGUCUUUCCUUUUCAACUUCCUUUAUCAUUGCUAUGCAGGGUACUCAAACGCAAGAGAAAAACAAACUGCUUCUACAACAGUUUGGUAUCAACUACGAGAGGCUACCAGUCAUGUUCCGUAGAGGAUCCUGUGUUUACCGAGAUAAGGUGGGAGAGAGCAUACAUGACACUGAAGGUAGAGAUCCUGUUCAAAGUUCUCUGAAGGUAAUUGUAGAUCAUUGUGACAUCAUCGAGCCUGGCUUUUGGAUUACACACCCAAGUAUCCUUGAAGAGUAGUAGCCUUUCCACAUUUGAAACUCACCUGCAACAGCUUACAGUUAAAAUUCUCACCGCCGUCCACUCGAUCCAUUUGGUACUUUAUAAAACUGUAGUUGGUAGCUAGGGGCUUGUUUAACCAUUUUUGAAUACUAGCAAAUUGUUAUUAAAUGGAAACUGUCAUAGCCAAGGGGGAGAUGAUCUGUAUCAAAUUCUCAUGUAUGAAAAACAUUUGAAUUUAAAUAGGAUAGAUCCAUAUUUCAGUAGUA